AUAUUUGAGAGUUUGAUCCUGGCUCAGGAUGAACGCUGGCGGCGUGCCUAACACAUGCAAGUCGAGCGAUCUCUUCGGAGAGAGCGGCGGACGGGUGAGUAACGCGUGGGUAACCUGCCCUGUACACACGGAUAACAUACCGAAAGGUAUACUAAUACGGGAUAACAUACGAAAGUCGC
rnacentral:rRNA from 1 species